GGGAUGACACAGUAGGAUAAGCUAAGCACACUGUUGGUUAUGUGUGCCCAAGCAUUGAGGCAGGCAAAGUAGGCAAAUCCGCUUUGAUAAUGCUGGGAUGUGAUGGGGAGCGAAAUUUAGUAGCGAAGUAGCUGAUUUCACACUGUCAAGAAAAGUCUCUAUCGAGGUUAAAGGUACCCGUACCGCAAACCGACACAGGUGGGUGAGGAGAGUAUCCUAAGGCCAGCGAGAGAACUGUUGUUAAGGAACUCGGCAAAAUGACCCCGUAACUUAGGGAUAAGGGGUGCCACCAUCAGGUGGCCGCAGAGAAUAGGCCCAAGCGACUGUUUACCAAAAACAUAGGUUUCUGCUAAGUCGCAAGACGAUGUAUAGGAGCUGACGCCUGCCCGGUGCUGGAAGGUUAAGGGGAUCUGUUAGAG
rnacentral:rRNA from 1 species